UUGAUAGUACCUUACUACUUGGAUAACCCGUGGUAAUUCUAGAGCUAAUACAUGCUAAAACCCCGACUUCGGGAGGGGUGUAUUUAUUAGAUAAAAAAACAAUGCCCUUCGGGGCUCCUUGGUGAUUCAUGAUAACUUCUCAGAUCGCAUGGCUUUACGCCGGCGACGGUUCAUUCAAAUUUCUGCCCUAUCAACUUUCGAUGGUAAGGUAGUGGCUUACCAUGGUUUCAACGGGUAACGGGGAAUUAGGGUUCGAUUCCGGAGAGGGAGCCUGAGAAACGGCUACCACAUCCAAGGAAGGCAGCAGGCGCGCAAAUUACCCAAUUCCGAUACGGAGAGGUAGUGACAAUAAAUACUGAUACAGGGCUCUUUAGGGUCUUGUAAUUGGAAUGAGUACAAUUUAAACCUCUUAACGAGGAACAAUUGGAGGGCAAGUCUGGUGCCAGCAGCCGCGGUAAUUCCAGCUCCAAUAGCGUAUAUUAAAGUUGUUGCAGUUAAAAAGCUCGUAGUUGAACCUUUGGCCUGGCUGGCAGGUCCGCCUCACCGCGUGCACUUGUCCGGCCGGGCCUUUUCUUCUGGAGAACCGCAUGCCCUUCACUGGGUGUGUUGGGGACCAGGACUUUUACUUUGAAAAAAUUAGAGUGUUCAAAGCAGGCCUUUGCUCGAAUACGUUAGCAUGGAAUAAUAGAAUAGGACGUGCGGUCCUAUUUUGUUGGUUUCUAGGACCGCCGUAAUGAUUAAUAGGGACAGUCGGGGGCAUCAGUAUUCAAUUGUCAGAGGUGAAAUUCUUGGAUUUAUUGAAGACUAACUACUGCGAAAGCAUUUGCCAAGGAUGUUUUCAUUAAUCAGUGAACGAAAGUUAGGGGAUCGAAGACGAUCAGAUACCGUCGUAGUCUUAACCAUAAACUAUGCCGACUAGGGAUCGG
rnacentral:rRNA from 1 species